rnacentral:rRNA from 1 species
AUCAACGCUGGCGGCGUGCCUAACACAUGCAAGUCGCACGGGAAAGGGGAGCAAUCCCUGAGUAUAGUGGCGAACGGGUGAGUAACACGUGACUAACCUACCCUCGAGUGGGGGAUAACCUCGGGAAACCGGGGCUAAUACCGCAUAAGACCACGGGGUGAAAUUCCCAGGGGUCAAAGGGGAAACUCGCUGGGGGAGGGGGUCGCGGCUGAUUAGCUAGUUGGCGGGGUAACGGCCCACCAAGGCAAUGAUCGGUAGCCGGCCUGAGAGGGCGCACGGCCACACUGGAACUGAAACACGGUCCAGACUCCUACGGGAGGCAGCAGUGGGGAAUUUUGCGCAAUGGGGGAAACCCUGACGCAGCAACGCCGCGUGGAGGAUGAAGCCCCUUGGGGUGUAAACUCCUUUCGAUCGGGACGAAAACACUGACGGUACCGGAAGAAGAAGCACCGGCUAACUCUGU